AAAAAAUCUAAAAGAAAUACAUAAGAAAGGUUGUAGGCAAGGGGAGAGAAGACUUAGCUCCAACUUAAAAAUCAAGAAAUCAUCUUAGGGAGAGAAGUCAUAACUUCCAAUUUAAAGAUCAAGCACUCAUCUUCUAUAUCCGAAACCGUUCAAGAAGAUUUCCGCAAUAAUGAAACGAGUCAUAGUCCAACUCUUACAUCGGUUCGGGCUAUCGAUAAGCCAGCCAUAUGUCCCCUGCCGGCUUGCAGCGUCUUAUAGGGAUCUUGUUCUGAGUUAUUAAAGAGGAAUGUCCCUCGAUGUCGAUUAUCUCGAAGCCCUGCUUGUGCCACAGAAGAGUGGUGAAACACUCUACUACAGUCCGAAGUCGAGGACGGACAUGUCGAUAGUGAAGGGACUCGUGUCCGAUGCUCACAGACAUGUAGAUAGUGAAAGAACUCGAGGUGAAUUAUUGAAGGCGUGUUUGGUGUUUUGAUUUCAGGCUUAACCGCCUUUGUACUUUGCAAACUUGAGCUAUAAUCGUAGCAUUAAUUUCAAGCUAUGAAAAGAAUUCGUUAAACUGAAACGUAAAAAUCAGUUUUUUUUGGCCUAACUCACUUUUAUUUUACAAAGGAAAAAAAUUACUCUUCAUUUCCUCUUAUCAUCUUCAAAUCUGUCAAGCCGCUGGACUCUUCUUCUUCACCUUCCUCCGCUGCUUUUCACCACCAUCACAUUUGCCGCUUCUUCUUCAUAUUCCAUUUUGUUUUAUCAAAAUCUCAGUUGCACAUAAACUAAAACUCUAGAGGUCCUCGACCUAUAUCCUUGGAGAAGGGAAAACCACAUUUGUAAACAGACGUCUUACUGGAAAGUUUGAGAAGAAGUAUGAACGAGUUGUACCAGUUCAAUGAUGGAUUCCCUACACCAUAAGGGUCAGCUCGGCUCAGUUUCUCCUUCAGGUACCGGAACUGAUCACAACAACUACAGAAAAUUGCAGCAAAACGAGUCAGGCUAAUCUGUCCUCUUGGCGGGAUCUAUGCACUCUUCUUCCUUGAAGGUUUGAAAGUAGGUUGAAGUUUGUUUGUUAUGAAUAUAUAUAAGUUUAGAGUUUGAGUCUUGGUUGUUUAUUAAUCCCUCUAAGUAGUCUCCAAACUCAUAUAUCAUGUACAUACUCUAGUUUAUGUGACAUUAACAGCUGAGAGUUGAGGCUUAGCUGCAAAAA